AUAAUGGGUCAGCGACUUAUAUUCUGUAGCAAGGUUAACCGAAUAGGGGAGCCGAAGGGAAACCGAGUCUUAACUGGGCGUUAAGUUGCAGGGUAUAGACCCGAAACCCGGUGAUCUAGCCAUGGGCAGGUUGAAGGUUGGGUAACACUAACUGGAGGACCGAACCGACUAAUGUUGAAAAAUUAGCGGAUGACUUGUGGCUGGGGGUGAAAGGCCAAUCAAACCGGGAGAUAGCUGGUUCUCCCCGAAAGCUAUUUAGGUAGCGCCUCGUGAAUUCAUCUCCGGGGGUAGAGCACUGUUUCGGCAAGGGGGUCAUCCCGACUUACCAACCCGAUGCAAACUGCGAAUACCGGAGAAUGUUAUCACGGGAGACACACGGCGGGUGCUAACGUCCGUCGUGAAGAGGGAAACAACCCAGACCGCCAGCUAAGGUCCCAAAGUCAUGGUUAAGUGGGAAACGAUGUGGGAAGGCCCAGACAGCCAGGAUGUUGGCUUAGAAGCAGCCAUCAUUUAAAGAAAGCGUAAUAGCUCACUGGUCGAGUCGGCCUGCGCGGAAGAUGUAACGGGGCUAAACCAUGCACCGAAGCUGCGGCAGCGACACUAUGUGUUGUUGGGUAGGGGAGCGUUCUGUAAGCCUGUGAAGGUGUACUGUGAGGUAUGCUGGAGGUAUCAGAAGUGCGAAUGCUGACAUAAGUAACGAUAAAGCGGGUGAAAAGCCCGCUCGCCGGAAGACCAAGGGUUCCUGUCCAACGUUAAUCGGGGCAGGGUGAGUCGACCCCUAAGGCGAGGCCGAAAGGCGUAGUCGAUGGGAAACAGGUUAAUAUUCCUGUACUUGGUGUUACUGCGAAGGGGGGACGGAGAAGGCUAUGUUGGCCGGGCGACGGUUGUCCCGGUUUAAGCGUGUAGGCUGGUUUUCCAGGCAAAUCCGGAAAAUCAAGGCUGAGGCGUGAUGACGAGGCAC
rnacentral:rRNA from 1 species